rnacentral:rRNA from 1 species
UACGAAGGGGGCUAGCGUUGCUCGGAAUCACUGGGCGUAAAGGGUGCGUAGGCGGGUCUUUAAGUCAGGGGUGAAAUCCCGGAGCUCAACUCCGGAACUGCCUUUGAUACUGGGGAUCUUGGAGUCCGGGAGAGGUGAGUGGAACUGCGAGUGUAGAGGUGAAAUUCGUAGAUAUUCGCAAGAACACCAGUGGCGAAGGCGGCUCACUGGCCCGGUACUGACGCUGAGGUGCGAAAGCGUGGGGAGCAAACAGG